rnacentral:rRNA from 1 species
UACGUAGGGGGCAAGCGUUGUCCGGAUUUAUUGGGCGUAAAGAGCGUGUAGGCGGCCAAGCAGGUCCGCUGUGAAAACUCGAGGCUUAACCUCGAGAUGUCGGCGGAAACCAUCUGGCUAGAGUCCGGAAGAGGAGAAUGGAAUUCCCGGUGUAGCGGUGAAAUGCGCAGAUAUCGGGAAGAACACCCGUGGCGAAGGCGGUUCUCUGGGACGGUACUGACGCUGAGGCACGAAGGUCAGGGGAGCAAACGGG